GCGGCGUGCUAUNNCAUGCAGUCGUACGCAGGUUUCUUCACCGGAUUAGCUUGCACUCACCGAAGGAAACUGAGUGGCGAACGGGUGAGUAACACGUGGGUAACCUGCCCAAAAGAGGGGGAUAACACUUGGAAACAGGUGCUAAUACCGCAUAACAACAAAAACCGCCUGGUUUUUGUUUAAAAGAUGGUUUCGGCUAUCACUUUUGGAUGGACCCGCGGCGUAUUAGCUAGUUGGUAAGGUAACGGCUUACCAAGGCAGUGAUACGUAGCCGAACUGAGAGGUUGAUCGGCCACAUUGGGACUGAGACACGGCCCAAACUCCUACGGGAGGCAGCAGUAGGGAAUCUUCCACAAUGGACGCAAGUCUGAUGGAGCAACGCCGCGUGAGUGAAGAAGGUUUUCGGAUCGUAAAACUCUGUUGUUAGAGAAGAACGUGUGUGAGAGUAACUGUUCAUGCAGUGACGGUAUCUAACCAGAAAGCCACGGCUAACUACGUUGCCAGCAGACUGAAGGUAANUACGUAGAGUGAGC
rnacentral:rRNA from 1 species